rnacentral:tRNA from 16 species
GCCCAGGUGGCGGAAUUGGUAGACGCGCACGGUUCAGGUCCGUGUGCCGCAAGGCGUGGAGGUUCGAGUCCUCUUCUGGGCACCA